GGGGGUUAUGGUUCCCACAUUAUUGCAAGACAAGACUCUUCUUCCUCCCAUUGAAUCAAGAGCAAAAAUACACCAUUGUUGUCUUGCAAAUAAUUGUGAAAAACCAUAUACCAAUUUUGAUCAUUGUCAUAUUAUUAUUGUGAGUAAAUUCACAUAUUGUUUAAAGUCUUGUGAAGUAUUCUUGUGGUGACAUACAACUUCAAGACAUUCUUGAAGAAAGGUUAAAGGAGCAAUCUUCAUAAGGACUCAAAGACAAUCAUCAAAGGAGGUCUUGUGGUGACAUACAACUUCAAGACAUUCUUGAAGAAGGUUUAAAGGAGCAAUCUUCAUAAGGACUUAAGGACAAUCAUCAAAAGGAGGUUCAACAAUUUCCACACAUGAAUUCAGGUUAGCUUCCGCUCAUGUAGUUUAAUUCCGAAUUGUUCAAUAUGAA
rnacentral:lncRNA from 1 species